rnacentral:rRNA from 1 species
GACGAACGCUGGCGGCGUGCUUAACACAUGCAAGUCGAACGGAAAGGCCCUGCUUUUGUGGGGUGCUCGAGUGGCGAACGGGUGAGUAACACGUGAGUAACCUGCCCUUUACUUUGGGAUAACUUCAGGAAACUGGGGCUAAUACCGGCUAGUAGCUCCUGCUGCAUGGUGGGGGUUGGAAAGUUUCGGCGGUUGGGGAUGGACGCGCGGCUAAUCUGCUUGUUGGUGGGGUAGUGGCUUACCAAGGCUUUGACGUGCAGCCGGCCUGAGAGGGGGACCAGGCACAAGAGGACUAAGGGAGGGACCAGAGGGGAACGUGGGGCAGCGGGGGCAAGCAUGACGCAGAGAGCCGGCGCGUGAGAAAAAGACGUCGGGUGGGGAAUGAAGGUUUAGGGGGGAGAAAGGGAGUAAGGCUGAGAAGUUGACUGAGUGACGGUAACGGGAGAAGAAGCACCGGCUAACUACGUG